AAUCUAGUUCUUUUCUAAAUUAUGAACAGGAAAUAAUUGCCAUCAGGGCUCAUCAACACUGUCCAAUUUCCUCAUUUCUCACGAUCGGUGAAGCUUCUGCUUUCGAGUGCAUCAUUCACAUGUGGAGCACCUUCGACGGGUUAUCUCAGCCCACCCAAUUAAUCAAAAAUCAAAACUGGAAAAACAUCAACAAACUGGAGGGUGGGGAGCCACAUUCACGCGAUACAUCUUAGACCUUAAGGAGUAAUGGAAUCCCAUUGAUAUGAGCCAAAGUGCUUUUUCACCGAUCUCUUGGAAUUUUAAAGGGGCAUUACUCACGGCGAUAACGUAAUCGAGGUACCAAACUGAAGUACAAACUGAACUUAAGAUGAGUGUUGGAUUCUAAUAAAAGCUUUCCACUUACUGACGUCACCGGAAGAUCAAUGUCGAUCGAGCAAAUCGAGAACUUACCUAGAAAUAGAGGAAAUCGGGAAAAAAUAAUGUCAAUUUGCUGGCAAAUGAGUCAAGUGCGAGAUAUAAUAAAAAAUGCAGCCAGAUCACCAAGCGGAACAAGAA